rnacentral:rRNA from 1 species
UACGGGGGGGGCAAGCGUUGUUCGGAAUUACUGGGCGUAAAGGGCCAGUAGGCGGCCAACUAAGUCCGACGUGAAAUCCCAAGGCUUAACCUUGGAACUGCGUCGGAUACUGGAUGGCUUGAGAUUGGGAGAGGGAUGCGGAAUUCCAGGUGUAGCGGUGAAAUGCGUAGAUAUCUGGAGGAACACCGGUGGCGAAGGCGGCAUCCUGGACCAACACUGACGCUGAGGAGCGAAAGCCAGGGGAGCAAACGGG